ACAUAUAUACAUAUAUAUACAUAUGUGUGUAUAUAUAUACACACAUAUGUAUAUAUGUGUGUGUGUGUG
rnacentral:pre_miRNA from 11 species